UUGGAAUAUUCCUGCGUGUUGCUCGCUUUUUAUGGACUUGUUGCCUCGAAGAUCGCCAUGAUCGCCUCCGACUCAGCGACAUCAAGGAUUCAAAAUGAGCUGGGAGAGGCCCCAGCUGGAACGGUUCACAUAGGUUGAAGGAGUGCACAUUGAGAAGGUUAUCCUGGCACAGUUUACCAUGGCCUGCCAUGGUAGACCAGGAAAGUUUGCAAGGGCCUUGCUUCACCAUGUGUUCACAGAGGAGGAGCUCAUGGGCCAUUUGGGCUUUGGAAAUAACACCAAGGGGCAAAAAAGGCUCUUGACCCCACCAGGGUCAGUGCUGUU
rnacentral:lncRNA from 1 species